AGCGGGGCUCACCUCCCGGUGACGUCAGCGGGCCGGGAGGGACACCGAGCUGACUACGGCGGUCGCCGAGUGCCGGUGACGUGUGACCGCCCGACAACCCUCCACCGGCUGCGCUCGGAGAAGCCUGGUAGAGAAGCUGAAGGACGCGGGUUCGAUUCCCGCCACCUCCACGA
rnacentral:tmRNA from 1 species